rnacentral:rRNA from 1 species
GGGGUGGAAAGCUUUAUUGKGGUUUUGGAUGGACUCSCGGCCUAUCASCUUGUUGGUGAGGUAAUGGCUCACCAAGGCRACRACGGGUAGCCGGCCUGARAGGGUGACCGGCCACACUGGGACUGAGACACGGCCCARACUCCUACGGGAGGCAGCAGUGGGGAAUAUUGCACAAUGGGCGAAAGCCUGAUGCARCGACGCCGCGUGAGGGAUGACGGCCUUCGGGUUGUAAACCUCUUUCARUAGGGAAGAAGCGAAAGUGACGGUACCUGCAGAAGAAGCGCCGGCUAACUACGUGCCAGCAGCCGCGGUAAUACGUAGGGCGCAAGCGUUAUCCGGAAUUAUUGGGCGUAAAGAGCUCGUAGGCGGUUUGUCGCGUCUGCCGUGAAARUCCGGGGCUCAACUCCGGAUCUGCGGUGGGUACGGGCAGACUAGAGUGAUGUAGGGGAGACUGGAAUUCCUGGUGUAGCGGUGAAAUGCGCAGAUAUCAGGAGGAACACCGAUGGCGAAGGCAGGUCUCUGGGCAUUAACUGACGCUGAGGAGCGAAAGCAUGGGAGCGAACAGGAUUAGAUACCCUGGUAGUCCAUGCCGUAACGUUGGGCACUAGGUGUGGGGGACAUUCCACGUUUUCYGUACSGUAGMUAACGCAYUAAGUGCYCCGCCUGGGGAGUACGGCCGCAAGGSUAAAACUCAAAGGAAUUGACGGGGGCCCGCACAAGCGGCGGAGCRUGCGGAUUAAUUYGAUGCAACGCGAAGAACCUUACCAAGGCUUGACAUGAACCGGAAAUACCUGGAAACASGUKCCCCGCUUGCGGUCGGUUUACAGGUGGUGCAUGGUUGUCGUCAGCUCGUGUCGUGAGAUGUUGGGUUAAGUCCCGCAACGAGCGCAACCCUCGUUCUAUGUUGCCAGCGCGURAUGGCGGGGACUCAUAGGAGACUGCCGGGGUCAACUCGGAGGAAGGUGGGGACGACGUCAAAUCAUCAUGCCCCUUAUGUCUUGGGCUUCACGCAUGCUACAAUGGCCGGUACAAAGGGUUGCGAUACUGUGAGGUGGAGCUAAUCCCAAAAAGCCGGUCUCAGUUCGGAUUGGGGUYUGCAACUCGACCCCAUGAAGUCGGAGUCGCUAGUAAUCGCAGAUCAGCAACGCUGCGGUGAAUACGUUCCCGGGCCUUGUACAC